GGGCCAGUAACUCAGCUUGGAUACUUGCGCGUGCAAGGAUUUGGCGCAGCCAAAUAGAGUGACAGCCUUCUAAGCUGUAAGUCCGGAGUUCGAAUCUUCGCUGGCCCG
rnacentral:tRNA from 1 species